GGUGAGGGCUCCAGCAUGGCAGGCUGCAGGUCCCGAGCCCUGCCCCCUUGCCCCGCGGGGAGGUGGCUGAGGCCCAGCGAAAAUUCGAGCGCGGCGCCGGCGGGCCAUCACUGUUGGAGGACCCAGUGCACCCUCCGCAGCUGUUGGCCCGGGUGCUAAGCCUCUCACUGCCCAGGGCCGGCGGCGCCAGCCGACCGCUCAGAAUGCGGGGCGCGCCGAGCCCGCGCCCACCCGGAAGUCGCGCUGGACCUGCGAGCACCGCAGGCAGCCCAGGUUCCGGCCCGCGCCUCUCCCUCCACACCUCCCCGCCAGCAGAGGGAGCCCGCUCAGGCCUCAGCCAGCACAGGGAGGGGCUCCCACGGUGCAGCUGCGGGCUGAAGGGCUCCUCAAGCGCGGCCAGAGUGGGCUGAGGCCGAGGAGGCGCGGAGAGCCAGCGAGGGAUGCCAGCAAGCUGUCACCUCUCAGAAAUACAGGAAGAACAUCAAUAAUGUUCGAAGUUAUAAAUUGCGGAGGUCAGAAGUCAGAAAACAAGGUGUCUGCAGGACCAACCUCUCCUCUGGAUGCUCUAGGGAACGUGGUUAGCCCAUCAACUGCAAAGAUUGUUCUCAUAUAAUAUUGUUCUGAUGGAUAAUGAGACUCUGAAAGUGGAACAUAAACAGAUAAAACAAAAACAAACAGAAAAAAACCCAAAAACCUAAACUCAACUUCAGUUAAAGCAGAAAAUAUCUGUCCAGCCUAAACCAGGCAUACUCAACAGACUUCUUCUGUUAGAAGCCUGAUCCUACUUCAGUCUGGAACUACCUAGUCUUCAGGUUUGCCUGGUGCUCACCAGCUGAAGAAAUCCUUUAACGACCUUUAUUCAGUCAAGUAAAUUGUUUUAUUUUGGCAACUUGCAUGUUAUUUUUUAGGUUUUCAUUUAUUUUUUUUUAUAUUUAAAGUCAUAUUUUCUUCCUUUUAUUCACUUUGCUGGUCUUUCUCACUUUGAUUUUUUUUUUUUGCCUUGUUUUGCAUUUGUUUACUUUAACAUUGUUUGUAACUUAUCUCUUUUAUUUUGGAAAUUAUUCACAUUAUCAGUUUUCUUUUGCUAGGCAAUUUUGAUAUUCUAAUAAACAUUAUUAACAUAAAAUAUAAAGUUUAUUAACACCAAGCCCAAACAAUACCAAGUCUUAGGGCUCUUUAAUUGCAAUUAUUUAAAAAUAUUUGCUACAAAUUGUUCAUUAUUUUAUAUUUACAUUGUUUUUCUUAUUCCCACAAAUCACAUAUUGUUGGUGUGUUUGUUAAAUAAAAUUGUGAUUGCUUAUAUAUAUUUUUUCACAUCCUUUCUUCUUCUAAUAUUUUGGAAUUUAC
rnacentral:lncRNA from 1 species